rnacentral:rRNA from 1 species
AGCGAACGCUGGCGGCAGGCCUAACACAUGCAAGUCGAACGAACUCUUCGGAGUUAGUGGCGGGCGGGUGAGUAACACGUGGGAACGUGCCUUUAGGUUCGGAAUAACUCAGGGAAACUUGUGCUAAUACCGAAUGUGCCCUUCGGGGGAAAGAUUUAUCGCCUUUAGAACGGCCCGCGUCUGAUUAGCUAGUUGGUGAGGUAAAGGCUCACCAAGGCGACGAUCAGUAGCUGGUCUGAGAGGAUGAUCAGCCACAUUGGGACUGAGACACGGCCCAAACUCCGACGGGAGGCAGCAGUGUGGAAUCUUGCGCAAUGGGCGAAAGCUUGACGCAGCCAUGCCGCGUGAAUGAUGAAGGUCUUAGGAUUGUAAAAUUCUUUCACCGGGGACGAUAAUGACGGUACCCGGAGAAGAAGCCCCGGCUAACUUCGUGCCAGCCGCCGCCGUAA